GCGAACGGGUGAGUAACGCGUGAGGAACCUGCCUCAAAGAGGGGGACAACAGUUGGAAACGACUGCUAAUACCGCAUAAGCCCACGGCUCGGCAUCGAGCAGAGGGAAAAGGAGUGAUCCGCUUUGAGAUGGCCUCGCGUCCGAUUAGCUAGUUGGUGAGGUAACGGCCCACCAAGGCGACGAUCGGUAGCCGGACUGAGAGGUUGAACGGCCACAUUGGGACUGAGACACGGCCCAGACUCCUACGGGAGGCAGCAGUGGGGAAUAUUGCACAAUGGGGGAAACCCUGAUGCAGCGACGCCGCGUGGAGGAAGAAGGUCUUCGGAUUGUAAACUCCUGUUGUUGAGGAAGAUAAUGACGGUACUCAACAAGGAAGUGACGGCUAACUACGUGCCAGCAGCCGCGGUAAAACGUAGGUCACAAGCGUUGUCCGGAAUUACUGGGUGUAAAGGGAGCGCAGGCGGGAGAACAAGUUGGAAGUGAAAUCCAUGGGCUCAACCCAUGAACUGCUUUCAAAACUGUUUUUCUUGAGUAGUGUAGAGGUAGGCGGAAUUCCCGGUGUAGCGGUGGAAUGCGUAGAUAUCGGGAGGAACACCAGUGGCGAAGGCGGCCUACUGGGCACCAACUGACGCUGAGGCUCGAAAGUGUGGGUAGCAAACAGGA
rnacentral:rRNA from 1 species